rnacentral:rRNA from 1 species
GUCUGAAGAAGGCCUUCGGGUUGUAAAGGACUUUUGUUAGGGAAGAAAAGCCGGGUGCUAAUACCACCUGGUGCUGACGGUACCUAAAGAAUAAGCACCGGCUAACUACGUGCCAGCAGCCGCGGUAAUACGUAGGGUGCGAGCGUUAAUCGGAAUUACUGGGCGUAAAGCGAGCGCAGACGGUUAAUUAAGUCAGAUGUGAAAUCCCCGAGCUCAACUUGGGACGUGCAUUUGAAACUGGUUAACUAGAGUGUGUCAGAGGGAGGUAGAAUUCCACGUGUAGCAGUGAAAUGCGUAGAGAUGUGGAGGAAUACCGAUGGCGAAGGCAGCCUCCUGGGAUAACACUGACGUUCAUGCUCGAAAGCGUGGGUAGCAAACAGGAUUAGAUACCCUGGUAGUCCACGCCCUAAACGAUGACAAUUAGCUGUUGGGACACUAGAUGUCUUAGUAGCGAAGCUAACGCGUGAAAUUGUCCGCCUGGGGAGUACGGUCGCAAGAUUAAAACUCAAAGGAAUUGACGGGGACCCGCACAAGCGGUGGAUGAUGUGGAUUAAUUCGAUGCAACGCGAAGAACCUUACCUGGUCUUGACAUGUACGGAAUCUCUUAGAGAUAGGAGAGUGCCUUCGGGAGCCGUAACACAGGUGCUGCAUGGCUGUCGUCAGCUCGUGUCGUGAGAUGUUGGGUUAAGUCCCGCAACGAGCGCAACCCUUGUCAUUAGUUGCCAUCAUUAAGUUGGGCACUCUAAUGAGACUGCCGGUGACAAACCGGAGGAAGGUGGGGAUGACGUCAAGUCCUCAUGGCCCUUAUGACCAGGGCUUCACACGUCAUACAAUGGUCGGUACAGAGGGUAGCGAAGCCGCGAGGUGAAGCCAAUCUCAGAAAGCCGAUCGUAGUCCGGAUUGCACUCUGCAACUCGAGUGCAUGAAGUCGGAAUCGCUAGUAAUCGCAGGUCAGCAUACUGCGGUGAAUACGUUCCCGGGUCUUGUACACACCGCCCGUCACACCAUGGGAGUGGGGGAUACCAGAAUUGGGUAGACU